rnacentral:rRNA from 1 species
UACGUAGGGGGCUAGCGUUGUCCGGAAUCAUUGGGCGUAAAGCGCGUGUAGGCGGUCCGGUAAGUCCGCUGUGAAAGUCGGGGGCUCAACCCUCGAAUGCCGGUGGAUACUGUCGGGCUAGAGUGCGGAAGAGGCGAGUGGAAUUCCUGGUGUAGCGGUGAAAUGCGCAGAUAUCAGGAGGAACACCAAUUACGAAGGCAGCUCGCUGGGACGUAACUGACGCUGAGACGCGAAAGCGUGGGGAGCAAACAGG